rnacentral:rRNA from 1 species
UACAGAGGUCUCAAGCGUUGUUCGGAUUCAUUGGGCGUAAAGGGUGCGUAGGCGGCGCGGUAAGUCGGGUGUGAAAUCUUGGAGCUUAACUCCGAAACUGCAUUCGAUACUGCCGUGCUUGAGGACUGGAGAGGAGACUGGAAUUUACGGUGUAGCGGUGAAAUGCGUAGAUAUCAGGAGGAACACCAAUGGCGAAGGCAGCUCGCUGGGACGUGACUGACGCUGAGACGCGAAAGCGUGGGGAGCAAACAGG